GCAAUGCAUUCUUAAGAUGGAGGAGAUUAAUGAACCCUCCCCCCUUACAAUGAACAACACAUGGACACUCUGAGGAUGAUCCCUUUGCUUCCAUUAAGAGUUCCAAGAUGUGGGUCUGAUUGACGGGGGUGUGAAAUGUAACAGCCAAUGGUGUACUUAAGCUAGGACUGACAGUCCCAAUUUUCAAGAGCAAUGCAUUCUUAAGAUGGAGGAGAUUAAUGAACCCUCCCCCCUUACAAUGAACAACACAUGGACACUCUGAGGAUGAUCCCUUUGCUUCCAUUAAGAGUUCCAAGAUGUGGGUCUGAUUGACGGGGGUGUGAAAUGUAACAGCCAAUGGUGUACUUAAGCUAGGACUGACAGUCCCAAUUUUCAAGAGCAAUGCAUUCUUAAGAUGGAGGAGAUUAAUGAACCCUCCCCCCUUACAAUGAACAACACAUGGACACUCUGAGGAUGAUCCCUUUGCUUCCAUUAAGAGUUCCAAGAUGUGGGUCUGAUUGACGGGGGUGUGAAAUGUAACAGCCAAUGGUGUACUUAAGCUAGGACUGACAGUCCCAAUUUUCAAGAGGAAAAACCCCUACAUAAACAAAUACAUGGGCGCAGACAUUUUGGACACCCAAAGUUGUGCGGAGGAGAAAAUGCUAGCUGGCGCAUGGUUGGUCAAUAAGAGAAAAGACUUGUUAUGUAUCUGACUAGUGAAAUAAAGUUGAUAAAAAUCUCAUAGCAAGACUUGGGAUUCUUUGAGAUAUAUAGGAGUUACAGGUAAAAAUUUGA